UACGUAGGUGACCAGCGUUGUCCGGAUUUACUGGGCGUAAAGCGUGCGCAGGCGGCGCGUUAAGACAGGUGUGAAAGCCCCGAGCUUAACUUGGGAAUUGCGCUUGUGACUGGCGAGCUGGAGUGUGGCAGAGGGAGGUGGAAUUCCACGUGUAGCAGUGAAAUGCGUAGAGAUGUGGAGGAACACCGAUGGCGAAGGCAGCCUCCUGGGCCAGCACUGACGCUCAUGCACGAAAGCGUGGGGAGCAAACAGG
rnacentral:rRNA from 1 species